CUGGAAAGUGGAGGGAGAGCUCAACAUGCAUCCUAAUAGGGAUGUCUGCAGAAAAAAUGAAUAUCAGGAUAAAUUUGAUGGUGCCCGAGGACCAACAAACCUUGGAUGGUUCCCAUGGAUGCUGUGGAUAUUCAGACAGCCUGUUGCCAGUCUCACCAGCACACAAGGUGAUACACUCGGUUCAGUUAAGGGAAUAACUGCCUUUACACCACAUCCCAGCUGUAACCAGGACAUCUGGGCACAGGCUUCCGACGCUGGCAACUUUCUGCUGUAUUUGCCACGAUCUUCUGAGGGUAUAAUCUGCUUUGAUACCAUAUGGGAUUCAAACAUAACACAGACCCAUCAGAGGCACCACCUCCGGCUUUCUAGGACAGAGAUGAUGUCAAUCCAAAUGAAUGACUGAUUUGCUUGGACUGAUCUAACUAAAGGUUAAGGAUGCCCUCAACAAAGGAAAAAACAGGCCAGUUUAGGCAGUGUUCUUUUUUGAGACCCGUUUCUAAAUAAAUCCAAUUAUUAGGCAGUUUCUCA
rnacentral:lncRNA from 1 species